ensembl:lncRNA
CGUAACAUUGCUGUAUGGAGCUGCAGAUUUGGUUGCAGGUUAACAUAGCUGGACUGGCCAUCGGGCAUACCGGGCAUAUCCCCAGUGACUUAUUUUUUAUUUUUAUUUUGUAAGGGCAUGAACAAUGAGAGGUGGUGGAUUGGCCAGAUGCAGGUCGAUGUGUAAAAAUAACUCCGUUGUUUGGUGGUGGCUAUGGCGGGGCUUCCACAGAGGCAACAGGUGGAUGAGGGAAGGGGAGGCAGGAGGAGAGCCCCGAGGCAGCCGCCAGUCCGAGUGUCAGGUGAACUGAACUUCAGGUCUCAAACAUAGUCCAGCAUCGAUGAACCAUCAGUUUGGAAGGGUUACCGAUAUUUGUUCGUGACAACGAGACCAAACUCUUCUUAACAUGUCUGGAUACAGAUCCAGUUGAGAGGGCA